UUUGUUUCUGAUACUCUUCUUACGUGCAACUCCUCUGGAUCUCGUUCUGGUUCUUUUUGCAGGUUAAUCCGAUGUUCGAGUAGUAAGAUAUAUUUCCAGUAAAUUCUUCUUAUCGAAUUUUUGAAACCAGAAUGUCUCCAUGCAUAUAUAAGAGGAUCAAACAAGCUGUUGGUGAUUCCUAACAAAUAGAGAGGCCCCAAGGUCAGCAUCUCCAAAGUUUUCACAGCUCUGUGUAGGAUACAAAUGUACAGUACACAAACUAUAAUGAUGAUAGAUAAAACAACUAUUGACACGACGAUGAGUAAGG